rnacentral:rRNA from 1 species
GAUUGAACGCUGGCGGCAUGCCUUACACAUGCAAGUCGAACGGCAGCACGGGUGCUUGCACCUGGUGGCGAGUGGCGAACGGGUGAGUAAUACAUCGGAACAUGUCCUGUAGUGGGGGAUAGCCCGGCGAAAGCCGGAUUAAUACCGCAUACGAUCUACGGAUGAAAGCGGGGGACCUUCGGGCCUCGCGCUAUAGGGUUGGCCGAUGGCUGAUUAGCUAGUUGGUGGGGUAAAGGCCUACCAAGGCGACGAUCAGUAGCUGGUCUGAGAGGACGACCAGCCACACUGGGACUGAGACACGGCCCAGACUCCUACGGGAGGCAGCAGUGGGGAAUUUUGGACAAUGGGCGAAAGCCUGAUCCAGCAAUGCCGCGUGUGUGAAGAAGGCCUUCGGGUUGUAAAGCACUUUUGUCCGGAAAGAAAUCCUUGGCUCUAAUACAGUCGGGGGAUGACGGUACCGGAAGAAUAAGCACCGGCUAACUACGUGCCAGUAGCCGCGGUAAUACGUAGGGUGCGAGCGUUAAUCGGAAUUACUGGGCGUAAAGCGUGCGCAGGCGGUUUGCUAAGACCGAUGUGAAAUCCCCGGGCUCAACCUGGGAACUGCAUUGGUGACUGGCAGGCUAGAGUAUGGCAGAGGGGGGUAGAAUUCCCACGUGUAGCAGUGAAAUGCGUAGAGAUGUGGAGGAAUACUCGAUGGCGAAGGCAGCCCCCUUGGGCCAAUACUGACGCUCAUGCACGAAAGCGUGGGGGAGCAAACAGGAUUAGAUACCCUGGUAGUCCACGCCCUAAACGAUGUCAACUAGUUGUUGGGGAUUCAUUUCCUUAGUAACGUAGCUAACGCGUGAAGUUGACCGCCUGGGGAGUACGGUCGCAAGAUUAAAACUCAAAGGAAUUGACGGGGACCCGCACAAGCGGUGGAUGAUGUGGAUUAAUUCGAUGCAACGCGAAAAACCUUACCUACCCUUGACAUGGUCGGAAUCCUGCUGAGAGGCGGGAGUGCUCGAAAGAGAACCGGCGCACAGGUGCUGCAUGGCUGUCGUCAGCUCGUGUCGUGAGAUGUUGGGUUAAGUCCCGCAACGAGCGCAACCCUUGUCCUUAGUUGCUACGCAAGAGCACUCUAAGGAGACUGCCGGUGACAAACCGGAGGAAGGUGGGGAUGACGUCAAGUCCUCAUGGCCCUUAUGGGUAGGGCUUCACACGUCAUACAAUGGUCGGAACAGAGGGUUGCCAACCCGCGAGGGGGAGCUAAUCCCAGAAAACCGAUCGUAGUCCGGAUUGCACUCUGCAACUCGAGUGCAUGAAGCUGGAAUCGCUAGUAAUCGCGGAUCAGCAUGCCGCGGUGAAUACGUUCCCGGGUCUUGUACUCACCGC